UACGAAGGGGGCGAGCGUUGUUCGGAUUUACUGGGCGUAAAGGGCGCGCAGGCGGCUCAUUUUGUCAGGCGUGAAAGCCCCGGGCUUAACCUGGGAACUGCGUUUGAUACGGAUGGGCUAGAGUUCGGGAGAGGAGAGUGGAAUUCCCAGUGUAGAGGUGAAAUUCGUAGAUAUUGGGGAGAACACCGGUGGCGAAGGCGGCUCUCUGGACCGAGACUGACGCUGAGGCGCGAAAGCGUGGGGAGCAAACAGG
rnacentral:rRNA from 1 species